CCAAUCUUUAACCAAUUAUUUUUAGUGGCUCUCAUUGUGUUUGUAACUCUAAAUGCUAUAAAACCAUGCUUCCUUUUAUGUUUUGAGUGAGUUAAUUAUUAACUAAAGAAUAGAAACGAUGCUUCUCCACAAAGUACUUUGUUGUAAACGAAUGAAAAACCAUCCAUAUUGCAUCUUUAUAGAUGUAUUGGACUAAAAGUGCUUUCAGUGGACCUUAUCUUUCGAAAUAAACCUGGAUUUGCAGCAGGGGACGCGUUUGUGACUCGUUAAUACAAACAGGAUUCUCUGCAAGGGUCCAUGAAGAGGAAUCAGAACCAGGCGGUGUCAGGUGCUAGAGUGGACCGUGAGACCCAAACUGAUGGACAGAGUGGAGAAGCUGGAUGGCCUGCUCUGUAGGAUGAACAGAGAGUGUGAGAGGAAAUCCAAGGGGAAAAAAGCAUUUUUUGCUCCAUGACUGUGUUUUAGGACUAUAAAUGAGAAAAGCAAGGUAGCAAAAAAAAGCCUUACAUUAAACAUUGCAAACAUAA